rnacentral:rRNA from 1 species
CCUACGGGAGGCAGCAGUGGGGAAUAUUGCACAAUGGGGGAAACCCUGAUGCAGCGACGCCGCGUGAGUGAAGAAGUAUUUCGUUAUGUAAAGCUCUAUCAGCAGGGAAGAAAAUGACGGUACCUGAGUAAGAAGCCCCGGCUAACUACGUGCCAGCAGCCGCGGUAAUACGGAGGGGGCAAGCGUUAUCCGGAUUUACUGGGUGUAAAGGGAGCGUAGACGGCAGUGCAGGUCUGGAGUGAAAGGCGGGGGCUCAACCCUCGGAGUGCCCUGGAAACUGUACGGCUGGAGUGCAGGAGAGGUAAGUGGAAUGCCUAGUGUAGCGGUGAAAUGCGUAGAUAUUAGGAGGAACACCAGUGGCGAAGGCGGCUUACUGGACUGUAACUGACGUUGAGGCUCGAAAGCGUGGGUAGCAAACAGGAUUAGAUACCCCUGUAGUC